rnacentral:rRNA from 1 species
GACGGAGGGGGCUAGCGUUGUUCGGAAUGACUGGGUGUAAAGGGCGCGUAGGCGGUAUUUUAAGUGAGGCGUGAAAGCCCUGGGCUCAACCCAGGAGGUGCGUUUCAUACUGGAAUGCUAGAGUGCGAGAGAGGAAAGUGGAAUUCCUAGUGUAGAGGUGAAAUUCGUAGAUAUUAGGAAGAACACCAGAGGCGAAGGCGGCUUUCUGGCUCGCAACUGACGCUGAGGCGCGAAAGCGUGGGGAGCAAACAGG